UUGUCCCUCUUUCCACCCCGUACUUGUGUACAAACGCAGAAUAAAGACACUUCAAUGAUCAUACAGCAUAACGUAUAUUUAAAACUGUAUAGUGUAUAUUCUAUUUAUAGUUUCUUAUAAUGCUUUACAUACAGAUUAUGUAAAGCCAUGUCAGCUUUAAAGAGAGCAAACACGUGGGAAAUGUCAGAUUCAGAGAACGAGAAUGAAGAAACUAACCCAUCAUCCUCCUCCUCCUCAUCAUCAUCACGUGUGAAACUGGAUCAGGACUCAUCUUCUGUCUCGGCUGUGACAUUCAAUAAUUCACCGGUAUCAACAUCAGCUGCCCGGACAGAAGACACCAGCAUCAAGAGUCCCGGGCAGAGGAGGAGAAGGAGGACACGGGAGGAGGUGGAGGAGGACCGGGAGAAGAGAGAAGCUGCUCGAGAGAAACUGAGAGAGAAGAAAGAGAAACUCAAAGAGGAAAAACUACAAGAGAGACAGAGAAGGAAAGAGACAGCAGAGAAACUGACGCUGUUCAAACCUGAAAACUUCAUCAAGACGCUCACAGUGAACAUUCAUGCAGUAUUGUUGCAGGAUGCAGGCUGUGACGUGUUGCUCAGGACUCUAGAUUGUCUUGAAUGGAGGAACCAUAUAGAGAAUCAGAGUCUUCUCAACAGCAUCAGCUGGACAGGACCAGCCCUUCAGGUCACUUAUAUAACUCCCACUGUGCCGACAGGUUGUGUUACUGAGGAGGAAGAUGAAAAUGGAGUUGUUGAAGAAGAUCAAAUUCUGAUGGUGGUCCCCCGAAAUGAAUUUGAACACAUGGUGAUGUCACACAAACAAGGCUCUGAUCAAUCGGUUCUCAUUGGUGAAGAGAAGGAGGGGGUGGGGCCUCACAAUGAGAGGGCGGAGUCUCUACUAAAGCAGCUGUCUGAAUACUUGACCACAAAUCCUGGGAAAGUUGUCACAGUUCUAGUGAUCAGUCAUUACCGACGAUCAGGAUUUUGGGAUGAAGACGAUACCAGCUCUCACCUCUGUCAGCAGCAUUUGGACAUAGAAGAGUUCCUGGUUCACCUACAGCUCUACUGGAAUGUGGCUGUUCACUUCCUGUUUGGCUGGCAGGAAGUGACUGAUCAUGUGAUUGCUUUUACCAAAGCUUUAUCCAAACGACCUUACAAAGUGUUGUGUGGUGAUCCUGAGCUGGGCUUCUGUAUGGACGGCUCGUGGUCAGGAGGUGUGCGUGUGGACAGAGAUGGCUGUGGCCUCGCUCAGGUGUGGACACGUCAGAUACAGCAGCUAAACCGUGUCAGUCCAGCCAUGGCCAAAGCCAUGACGGGCACAUACCGCUCACCUUCAAUUCUGCUGCAGGCCUAUGAAGAGUUGGAGUCUAUGGAUGACCAACGCAAACUAUUGGCUGAUCUCACUGUAGUAGGCGGGGCCAAUGAGAGGCGUGUCGGUCCUGAGCUCUCAUGCCGUAUACAUCGACUUCUUACUUCCCAGAAUCCUCAUCUCCUGCUGGACUGAGACUGGAAGUGUGGGAGAAAUUGCUGAUUCUGCACAAUAUAGCUGCCUGACUACUUGAAGACUACCCUGUGAUGAAGCUGAGAGUUCCGUGCCAGCUGUCCAGAUGAACCCCAAUUAUGGAGCCUUGACCGAACCGUGAUGAGAAAUUCACCUUUGACCCCUUAUGGUGAAGGUGACCUAAAUGGAGAUAAAUGUAGAUGAAGACAAAUGGUUAAAAAUACACAAAUACCAAUGUACACACACAUUUUAUAACAGCAUUUUAAUGAAAAUAUUGUAUCUGAAACGUGUCCACUUGACCUCUGACCUUACCUGUGUAGGAAAG